rnacentral:rRNA from 1 species
UUUUACGAGCACCUUUGUUCUCCUUCGGCGGGGCAACCUGCCGCUGGAACUAAUAAAACCUUUUUUGCAUCUAGCAUUACCUGUUCUGAUACAAAUAAUCGUUACAACUUUCAACAAUGGAUCUCUUGGCUCUGGCAUCGAUGAAGAACGCAGCGAAAUGCGAUAAGUAGUGUGAAUUGCAGAAUUCAGUGAAUCAUCGAAUCUUUGAACGCACAUUGCGCCCCUCGGUAUUCCGUGGGGCAUGCCUGUUCGAGCGUCAUCUACACCCUCAAGCUCUGCUUGGUGUUGGGCGUCUGUCCCGCCUCUGCGCGCGGACUCGCCCCAAAUUCAUUGGCAGCGGUCUUUGCCUCCUCUCGCGCAGCACAAUUGCGUCUGCGAGGGGGCGUGGCCCGCAUCCACGAAGCAACAUUACCGUCUUUGACCUCGGAUCAGGUAGG